GAUGAACGCUGACAGAAUUCUUAACACAUGCAAGUCUUUGGCGAAGCUGUGCUUGCACAGCCUAGCCAAGGCGGACGGGUGAGUAACGCGUAAGGAACUUGCCCUGCAGUCAGGGAUAACAGACGGAAACGACUGAUAAGACCUGGUAAAGUCAGGCGGACUCAUGUCCAGCCUGAUGAAAAGAGAUGCUGCAGGAGAGCCUUGCGUCCUAUUAGCUUGUUGGUGGGGUAACGGCCCACCAAGGCGAUGAUAGGUAGCCGGCCUGAGAGGGUGGACGGCCACAAGGGGACUGAGAUACGGCCCUUACUCCUACGGGAGGCAGCAGUGGGGAAUAUUGGACAAUGGGGGCAACCCUGAUCCAGCAAUUCUGUGUGCACGAUGAAGGUUUUCGGAGUGUAAAGUGCUUUCAGCAGGGAAGAAAAAAAUGACGGUACCUGCAGAAGAAGCGACGGCUAAAUACGUG
rnacentral:rRNA from 1 species